rnacentral:rRNA from 1 species
GACGAACGCUGGCGGCGUGCUUAACACAUGCAAGUCGAACGGAAAGACCCUGCUUUCAGGGUCCUCGAGUUGCGAACGGGUGGGUAACACGUGCGUGAUCUGCCCUGCACUUCGGGAUAAGCCUGGUAGGCUGGGUCUAAUACCUACUGGGAGCCAUUUUUAGUGUGAUGGUUGAAAAGUUUUUCCGGGGUAUGAUGAGCUCUCGGGCUAUCAGCUUGUUGGUUUGGUAAUGGCUUACCAAGGCGGCUACGGGUAGCCGCCCUGAGUGGGUGGACGGCCACACUGGGUCCGAGGUGAGGCACAGAUACCUAAGCGAGGGAGCAGUGGGGAAUCCUGAACAAUCAGCGCCACGCUGGUGAAGAGACGCCGCGUGGGGGAUGACGGUGUUAGGGUUGUAAAACCAAUUCGCAAGGGACGAAGCUCUUUGUGACGGUACCUAGAUAAGAAGCCACGGCUAACUACGUG